rnacentral:rRNA from 1 species
UACGGGGGGGGCAAGCGUUGUUCGGAAUUACUGGGCGUAAAGGGCUCGUAGGCGGCCAACUAAGUCAGACGUGAAAUCCCUCGGCUUAACCGGGGAGCUGCGUCUGAUACUGGAUGGCUUGAGAUUGGGAGAGGGAUGCGGAAUUCCAGGUGUAGCGGUGAAAUGCGUAGAUAUCUGGAGGAACACCGGUGGCGAAGGCGGCAUCCUGGACCAACACUGACGCUGAGGAGCGAAAGCCAGGGGAGCAAACGGG